UGGUGGUGGAGCUAGAGAUGGCCAGCAGUGAGGUUCAAUCGGCAAAAAAAUUAUGAAAAAAAUCAUUUAAAAAUUAAAGAUCCUUUUCUUCUCGAUUUUUGACAAAGUUGGUGGCCGACAAUGAGGUCUGGGGCUAGAAGAGAAAGGGAAGAGGGAGAGGAAGAAAGGUCAGAGCCUUACCCAAGCUUUGAUGGCAUCUUCGAUCUUUAUUUUCUACUGAACACAAUAAUGGGAGGCCAUAGCUUUAAUGGAGAAA
rnacentral:lncRNA from 1 species